CACAUGAAAUAUUCAGGCAGAACAACUUAAUUUAUACAAACACACAAAUCGUAACUAGAAAUGUUAUUUUAAGGCUGUUUUAGGUUUGAGCAAACGUGUUCAAAUUAUGGCUACGAACAAAGAGCCAGAGAAGAGGUUGCUGGUGAGCUUCGACUGUUUUAUCUUCUACUGGUACGUCAUCAGUCUGGUCAUCUUCUGUCUCACCAAGCUGGUCAAGCGCUGGAGGGGGAGUGGCCAGUCAGGUGGCCAAUAAGCUGCCUAAAAUGUAACAUCAGAUGAAAUAGCCUCAUUCUACGAACGACUAAAAUGUAACACCCGAUGAAAUUGCCUCAUUCAACGAACGACUAAAAUGUAAAAUCUGAUAAAAUAGCCUCAUUCUACGAACGACUAAAAUGUAAAAUCUGAUGAAAUAGCCUCAUUCUACGAACGACUAAAAUGUAAAAUCAGAUGAAAUAGCUUCAUUCUACGAACGAAUAAAAUGUAACAUCAGAUGAAAUAGCCUCAUUCUACGAACGACUAAAAUGUAACAUCAGAUGAAAUAGCCUCAUUCUACGAACGAAUAAAAUGUAACAUCAGAUGAAAUAGCCUCAUUCUACGAACGACUAAAAUGUAACAUCAGAUGAAAUAGCCUCAUUCUACGAACGACUAAAAUAUAAAAUCAGAUGAAAUAGCCUCAUUCUACGAACGAAUAAAAUGUAAAAUCAGAUGAAAUAGCCUCAUUUACGAACGACUAAAAUGUAACAUUAGAUGAGCCUUAUAGACCGUCAACCUCUCAUUUAAUGACACAACCGCUAUUGAAGAACGUCAGUUAUGUUGCAAUUUUUAACAUCUACAUUCUAUAUCAAGUAAUCUGAAUUUACUAUCAGAUAUGUAUGAAACAUCAAUAAAAAAACAUUAAAUGUUGAUUAUUUAAGAGUUUGAUGGAUUAAUAUUUAUUGUGGUUUGUGUCGUAAAUCAGAUUGAGCUAUUUCCAUAUCUUCACUUUAAACUAAAUUUAAGGUAAAAUAUUUUAUUUGGUUCAAUGUU